UGAUUAGGUUUGGAGACCCCAGGAGUUCCCUUCAAGCACUUCACGACGCACUAUUUAGAGAGUUGUUGUGAAGUGUUUGGGGGAACUCUCGGUGUCGCCAAGCAUUCAAAUAUAUAGCGUUUAGACUACAAGAGAUAAGAGAAAAGUUUGGUAUUACUAUGAGUUCUCUUUAAGCACUUCAUACGACACCAUUAUUGUUAGGGUUGUUAUGAAGUGUUUGGAGGAACUCUCAGUGCCAUCAAACAUUUAAUACAUAGUGUUUAAACCACAAGAUUGAGAUGAGAGCCAAGUUUGGCAUUGUCGUGAGUUCCCUUCAAGCACUUCACGUGGCACUAUUUCAAUGCGUACCGUGUGAAGUGUUUGGGGGAACUCUCGGCAUCACCAAACAUUUAAUAAAUAGUGUUUAAGCCACAAUAUUGAGAUAAGAGUCACGUUUGGUAUUAUCGUGAGUUCCCUUCAAGCACUUCACGUGACACUAUUUCAAUGUCUAUUAUGUGAAGUGUUUGGGGGAACUCUUGGUAUCGCCAAACAUUUAAUAGAUAGUGUUUAAACCACAAGAUUGAGAUAAGAGCCACGUUUGGUAUUAUCGUGAGUUCCCUUCAACCACUUCACGUGGCACUAUUUUAGGACCUACUAUGUGAAGUGUUUGGGGGAACUCUCGACAUCACCAAGCAUUGAGUAAUUAGUGACAUUUCAUACUACAAGAGGUGAAGCCUAGUUUGGUAUCACCGUGAGUUCCCUUCAAGCACUUCACGUGGCACUAUUUCAAUGCCUAUUGUGAAGUGUUUGGGGGAACUCUCGAUGUUCCCAAGCAUUUAACAUGUGAUGUUUCAAACUACGAGCCAUAUUUGGUAUCGCCAUGAGUUCUCUUCAAACUCUUCAUACGACACUAAUUCAAGUG
rnacentral:precursor_RNA from 1 species